AUUUACACCUACAUACAGUGUUUUUUGUUAUGAUGUCACACAUCAUAACAAAAUAACUGCAUGUAAAAGGAGUGAGGCAGGCUUUCUUCAUCCUUUGUCCCUCCUCCUUUCACGAGUUCUGUUUUAAAUAGAGAGCAAGCUUAGUUGGGAGAAGAGUAUCUACUUCUUGAACGCACCUGUGCCAUCCAUUAGUCAGACUGUGACAACCACUUGUUCAAGGAGAACAGCAACAUAUUUUUUUACUUCGUGUUCUUCUGAGAUCCAAAAUUACAGCAAUGGACAAUCGAAGCAGAGUUGUGUUCGCAGUCGUCAUGGUAAUGGCGUGCAUGGGAAUGAGAGCUGAGGCACAGAUCCCCACAACAGCUCCAAAUACAACAAAUACAACUCUUUCACUAAACAUCUCAAGGGCAAAUUGUGGAACCUCACAGUUCUGUGCUGCUCAGCCAGCAGGCUGUGACCCAUCUGUGUCUGGAUCCUGUUUCUUCGUCUCAACCAGUUUAAUCUCGGGACAGAACAUUUCCUUCCAGCUUCAAGGACAAUCCAGUGGCUACGUCGCUGUAGGGUUGUCCAGAACCAAUACAACGGGACAAAAUGACUCUGUCUAUGUGUGUGCUAACAUCAACAACAACGUUAAUUUCUCUUCCAAUCUUUACAACAACGGAACUCUGACUCCGAACAACACGCUGCCCUCUAACCUGGUGACUGGCUCAGUCAGUGGUCAGACCAUCCAGUGCAUGUUCUCUGCUACAGUCCCCGAUGCUACUUCCACCAAGAGCAGCAGUACCUCCUUUUUCAUUUCCAUCUACAACGGGACCGUGUCUAAUGGGGUGCUAGGUAGUCCUAAUGCUAUAUUUACAAGCACUGAAGCCGUGGACCUGUCCAAACCCAAUGCGAACAACAGCAACAGUUCUACAACAGCCUCACCAACCACCACAGCUAACCACGCUUUUUGUCUACAACGCACCCUGUCUCAAGCUCUGCUGAUCCUGCUUGGUGGACUAGUUUUCAUCAUGCUGUAAUGUGGAUCUCAGUAGUACACCACUUCACAUUCAGGAAUCCUGGACCUCUAUGGUUACUGAAGCCAACCAGGCUGGGUUCCCAAGAAUGAAACUCCUUCUGAGCAUGGGUAGUAAGACAUUAUCCAACAGAAUGAAUUCAGUAAUAUAAGAUUAAUGUUGUGUUUAUAGUCAAGGCCUUUUAAGGUACUUUUCAUCAUUAUUUAACCUCAUCAUCUUCGGCAUUACAACAUCAACAUCUCUUCAAUUCAGUGCCUGCAUAACAUAAAAAACUGUUGUGUUGAUGUUGUGUUGAGAACAUGAAUAUGAGGUAUAGACCUAAGACAUCCAACAAACAAGUUAUUUAUUUGAGCCCAGUCAUUUUCAUAUUCAUCGUAGCUGAUGUCAAGUUAUGUUGAAUGUCUUAGGUGUAUACCUAAGGAUGACAAGUAUGAAUUUGUGUGUGUGUAUGUGUGAAGUGUAACUAUUCGCUUACACAUUUGUGUCUAAUGAAGCCAAAAGUUGGCAGAAGCUGAUACUUGUGUGUGUAAUUCUGUUUGUGUGUCUGAUAAAGUACCAACAUUUUUUCUUUCUGAUUACCCUUUAAAAGUGUGAAAUGUUUUUCGUACAUUAAAAAUACAACAUUUAUUGACAAUACUAUGCAUUGUGUUUUUCAUACAUACACUUUUAUAUAAUUUAUAGACAGUAAAAUAAGUAAAAGACUGUUUAAAAUAAAAAUGAAUACAGUUAACAUACAAUAAGGGGAAUCAAGCAAUCAACCAGCAAAACCACAUAGAAUGUUCAAUUAAUUGAAACUGUUAAGGAUCUAUUUAUUACCCUAUUCUUAUUCUAUCCUUUAUUCUGCAAAUUAACUGUAAUAAAUGGACUAUUUUAGACUAGGCCUGAAAUUGCUUUAGAAUUUUCAUGGUUGCCACAUACAGAAGAAGACCUAGGUCAGCCUGCCCUGCUCUUAGAAGUGAUUAGGGCCACAACCAAGGCACCAGGCAUCAACCCUAUCUUUUGCACGACCCUGUUCAGUUGGAAGCCAUAAUAUGUGAUCAGAACAAUCUGUCAUGACGUUACUCUGCUGGUCUCUGUACUAAUUCUCUAUCAAUGUCAUGAUACUUUUUCCUGUGGAUCCAUGUAAUUAAACUUGAAAUAAUCAACUGUUA
ensembl:lncRNA